rnacentral:tRNA from 1 species
AUUCAUUUAAUAUAAAAAGUAUAAAAGACAUCCAAUCUUAAAGUUCAAAAAAGAAAUGAAUA